rnacentral:tRNA from 1 species
CUCCCUGUAGUUCAAUGGAUAGAACGGCCGCCUCCUAAGCGGCAGAUCUGGGUUCGAUUCCCGGCGGGGGGACCA